CAUAUGUAACAAACAGAACGGCUACGUUUGAAGAAGUUUAUUAAAAAAAGAUAUAUUAAAUACAAAAACUUUUGUAUUUAAUAUAUCUUUUUUUAAUAAACUUCUUCAAACGUAGCCGUUCUGUUUGUUACAUAUA